rnacentral:rRNA from 1 species
CAUCACUACGCUAGAUGCAUAUCAAUAAGCGGAGGAAAAGAAACUAACAAGGAUUCCCUUAGUAACGGCGAGUGAAGCGGGAAGAGCUCAAAUUUGAAAUCUUCAAGGUUCUACCUUGACGAAUUGUAGUUUAUAGAAGUGUUUUCUGUUAGUGGAGUGGCAGAAGUUCUUUGGAAUAGGACAUCAUAGAGGGUGAGAAUCCCGUAUUUGGUCAUUCCUCCUAGCGUUGUGAUACACUUUCAACGAGUCGGAUUGUUUGGGAAUGCAGUCCAAAAUGGGUGGUAAAUUUCAUCUAAAGCUAAAUAUUGGCGAGAGACCGAUAGCGAACAAGUACCGUGAGGGAAAGAUGAAAAGAACUUUGAAAAGAGAGUUAAACAGUACGUGAAAUUGUCAAAAGGGAAGCGUUUGACACCAGUGUUGUUUUUCCGAAAAUCAAUUACGAAUGUUUUAUUUUGAGAAGUUAUGACUUCAUCGGCUUGCUCUCUUCUUUAUGAAACUUUCUUAAAUGCACUUUUCGGUUAACAAGUCAACAUCAAUUUCUUUUGUUGUAAAAGGGUAUGAGGAAGGUGGCUUACGCUUCGGCGUAAGUGUUUAUAGCCUUUUACCUCUGCAAUCGGAGAGAUUGAGGACAGCAGCGUAGACUCUUCGGGGUUAGAUACACUUGUGCUAAGCUAUAGCCUUGUAUAGACAACUUGUUGACUAUGCUCAGUCAUGUAGCUUACUCGCUUGUGCUAUUUUACCUACGCUUAGGAUGUUGACGCGCGUGUGUGCGUG